CUGCGGUGAGCAACUGCUGGGGAAUUACUCAGAGCUCUGGUCGUGGGGUGGGAACGAGCGUAGCAUACUAGUAUAAUGAGUAUAAUCCUGUCCCAUGACAUUGGAGAUCAAACUUGUCCCCGGCUCUUGGACUGCUGAGGGCAUUGUCCUAUAUAUUCCUUAUCUUAAUGUCUGGUUGCUGAGGAGAAAACCAUAUAGGGCAGUCUC
rnacentral:snoRNA from 1 species